rnacentral:rRNA from 1 species
GACGAACGCUGGCGGCGUGCCUAAUACAUGCAAGUUGAGCGCUGAAGGUUGGUACUUGUACCCACUGGAUGAGCAGCGAACGGGUGAGUAACGCGUGGGGAAUCUGCCUUUGAGCGGGGGACAACAUUUGGAAACGAAUGCUAAUACCGCAUAAAAACUUUAAACACAAGUUUUAAGUUUUAAAGAUGCAAUUGCAUCACUCAAAGAUGAUCCCGCGUUGUAUUAGCUAGUUGGUGAGGUAAAGGCUCACCAAGGCGAUGAUACAUAGCCGACCUGAGAGGGUGAUCGGCCACAUUGGGACUGAGACACGGCCCAAACUCCUACGGGAGGCAGCAGUAGGGAAUCUUCGGCAAUGGACGAAAGUCUGACCGAGCAACGCCGCGUGAGUGAAGAAGGUUUUCGGAUCGUAAAACUCUGUUGGUAGAGAAGAACGUUGGUGAGAGUGGAAAGCUCAUCAAGUGACGGUAACUACCCAGAAAGGGACGGCUAACUACGUG